GAUCUGGCUCAGAACGAACGCUGGCGGCGCGUUUAAGCAUGCAAGUCGAGCGGCAAGGGCCUUCGGGCCCCUAGAGCGGCGGACGGGUGAGUAACACGUGGACAAUCUGCCCCCCGGCCCGGGAUAGCCCAGGGAAACCUGGAUUAAUACCGGAUGAGACGGGACCCGCGAUGGCGGGAUCCGGGAAAGGCGCUGCGGCGCCGCCGGGGGAUGAGUCUGCGUCCCAUUAGCUAGACGGCGGGGUAACGGCCCACCGUGGCGACGAUGGGUAGCCGGCCUGAGAGGGUGGACGGCCACAUUGGAACUGAGACACGGUCCAGACUCCUACGGGAGGCAGCAGCUAAGAAUCUUCCGCAAUGGGCGAAAGCCUGACGGAGCGACGCCGCGUGAACGAAGAAGGCCGUGAGGUUGUAAAGUUCUUUUCGGGAGGGGGAACAACCGUGGCAGGGAAUGGCCGCGGGAUGACGUGAAUCCCGGAAUAAGCCCCGGCUAACUACGUGCCAGCAGCAGC
rnacentral:rRNA from 1 species